UCUCCGUUGGUGAACCAGCGGAGGGAUCAUUACAGGAUUCGCAAGAACUCCCGUAACCACUGUGAACCUUACCUUCUGUUGCCUCGGCGGGCGCUGGUCUCGACCAGCGCUCACGCCCGCCGACGGCCCCUUACUCUUUGCCUCUCGCGUUGUCUCUCCGAGUAUCGCAGAAUGCAUAAAAACUUUCAACAACGGAUCUCUUGGUUCUGGCAUCGAUGAAGAACGCAGC
rnacentral:misc_RNA from 1 species